CUCAGGCAGAAACCUAGUCAGAGCUGAGCUAACACGAUGUGGGUGCGUGGAGAGGGAGGCGGAAAGGCCUACAGGCCAAGGACCAGACAGAUCAAAGGCCCUUCCUGGGGGCAAGGCGCAGGCUCCUCAUCUCCUGCCACCUGGUUGGGAUGAAGUUUCCAGAAUGCAUGGCUCAAGGGCCUGCUCCACCCCCGCCAGUACUCUCUGGGCAGCCACCACCUGAAGCUCACGAAUGCCCGAGACGGAGGCAGCGCAGCGGGGCACAGACAUUAUCCAGACGAAGAAACUGAGGCCCAGCGCAAGGGAGACCCAAGCCGCAUCUCCUGAUUCCCAGCAUCCACUGCUUCUUCCCAGGCCACUUGUCGCCACCACACCUGCUCCUGCGGCCUCAAGACUCAAGGGGAGUUUAACCUGGACGGGGUCACAGUGUUUCAGGCUUCGGGUUCCAUGUUUUCCUCCAGCCCCAAACUUGAUCCCUCUUCAUGAGUUCCAGCUUCUCUACUGACCUUGGGUAAGUCACUUAUGCCCUUUGCCUUAGUUUCCUCCUCUGUAAAAUGGGGAGACAAUAGAGCUGACCUCAUGGGGUGGCUGAGAGGAUGAAGGUAUAAAAUACGCAGAGGAGUGCCUGGCCACCGCACACUGCUGUCACAACUUCCCCAAUUCCUGCCAGUCUCCAGUGACUGAGACGCACCUACAGCACCCCUCCUCUCUCCUGUGCUCGGAGCCCAGCCCAGCGCUUUACUCCAGCCCACCGGGUUCAGAGGGCGCGAGCUGGGACACCAACGGAGGCCUGCCUGGCCUCAGGGCCGGGCUCCAGACACAGGUGCAAGUUCAACGUCGAGGCACCACUUCCACCUGGGGGCCCUGGAAAGGCCACGUGGCUUCUCAGGACUGCACGUUCCCUCCCAGUGAACAGGACAGCCGGUCUGAGGGCAGAGAACACAUGAAGGGUGUGCAGGGGCUCAGCACACCUGCGACUCAGAAGAGGAGUUCUCUGAACGCCAGUUGCUAACCCUGUCUGAUGGAAUCCUGUCCCUUGGGUUGCAGAGGAAGCUCCUGGAAAGCCAGGCAGCCCCCUGACCUUCGUCUUCCUUCAGAGCCUGCACAGACCUGGCGAGCAGCCGUCAACAAAGUGUGUCCAACGAGAGAAAGUAGGAACCCCUCUGCCAGCACGGGCCACGCACAGGGGCCCUGGGGGAGCAGAGUUCAACGAGGGCGAGCAUGCUGACAGUCAGACAUCUGGGGAGGUGCUUUUGAACCGGGGCUCCCGACCAGCCCAGGAAUUGCCAGGAAGACUUCAGGAUGCAGGUGCCGUGGCUCCUUCACACUGCCCGCCUUCAGCCCCAGCCCCGACAUGCUCCUACCACACUCUGUGCAUAUCGCGUGCCCUGUGCCCAGCCACUGGGUCAUCGAGCCUGUCUCGGCGCUCCAGGGCCUUGGUGUCUCCCUUGGUGCCAUUAGCUUGUGGGCCAGGCCCCCUGCACUAAGGAGCCCCUUGUCCACUGGGCUGCACGGCCAGCUUCCCAUCUAUUUGCCUGUGUGCGACAGUGUGGGUGAUGGGAACCACGGAAACCCUUGGGGGCAGGAGGAUGGAGAGUCUGCAAACAGAGGCAAAGGAGGCCUGCGCGAGGGUCAUAAAAUCACAAAAUGUUUCAACCACAAGAGUCCUCUUGGACAACUCCCAGAUGCUCCUAGUAGGAUAAAGACCAAAUUCCAUGCCAUGGCCUCUGAGCCAGCCCAAGGCAGCCCGGCCCCUCCUUCCGCACUUUGCUUCACCCCUCAGCUCCUCCAGUGCUCGGCUGGGCCCUGUCCUCUCCUCUCUGCACGUGCUGUUCCCUCACCAGAAGCGCACCCUCCCCUCUCUGCCACUCCCACCCCAGCCCCCUUCGUCUGCUGACCCUCC